rfam:Skermanella aerolata KACC 11604 strain 5416T-32 contig84, whole genome shotgun sequence.
AGAGUCCACUACGAUGAAGGAAUAGCGAUCCACAUCGGCCCCGAGCCGUGCGUCGGUCCCCGUGAGGGUACCGGCGAAGCGUCGGCAGGGGAUCGUGCAGGCCAGCCAUUGAGCCGCGAAAGUUUGUCACCCCGGACGCCGACGCGUUUCCCACCGCGGAAGGCAACACGGACGGAGGCGUUAGCGCGAGCCCCCGGACGGUCCGGCGAGGUCCAGGACCC